AGAAACCAACAGGGAUUACCUCAGUAACGGCGAGUGAAGCGGUAACAGCUCAAAUUUGAAAGCUAGCUCUUUUAGGGUUCGCAUUGUAAUUUGUAGAAGAUGCUUCGGGUGUGGCCCCGGUCUAAGUUCCUUGGAACAGGACGUCAUAGAGGGUGAGAAUCCCGUAUGUGACUGGGUGCUUUCGCUCAUGUGAAGCUCUUUCGACGAGUCGAGUUGUUUGGGAAUGCAGCUCAAAAUGGGUGGUAAAUUUCAUCUAAAGCUAAAUAUUGGCCAGAGACCGAUAGCGCACAAGUAGAGUGAUCGAAAGAUGAAAAGCACUUUGGAAAGAGAGUUAAACAGUACGUGAAAUUGUUGAAAGGGAAGCGCUUGCGACCAGACUUGCGCGCUGAUGAUCAUCCGGGCUUCUGCCCGGUGCACUCGUCUGCGCUCAGGCCAGCAUCGGUUUCGGUGGUGGGAUAAAGGCCUUGGGAAUGUGGCUCCUCUCGGGGAGUGUUAUAGCCCUCGGUGCAAUGCCGCCUACCGGGACCGAGGACCGCGCUUCGGCUAGGAUGCUGGCGUAAUGGUCGUAAGCGACC
rnacentral:rRNA from 1 species